rnacentral:rRNA from 1 species
AUUGAACGCUGGCGGCAUGCCUUACACAUGCAAGUCGAACGGUAACGGGCCUUCGGGUGCCGACGAGUGGCGAACGGGGGAGUAAUACAUCGGAACGUGCCCGAUCGUGGGGGAUAACGAGGCGAAAGCUGUGCUAAUAGCGCAUACGAGCUACGGAUGAAAGCAGGGGACCGCAAGGCCUUGCGCGGACGGAGCGGCCGAUGGCAGAUGAGGUAGUUGGGGGGAUAAAAGCUUACCAAGCCGACGAUCUGUAGCUGGUCUGAGAGGAUGAUCAGCCACACUGGGACUGAGACACGGCCCAGACUCCUACGGGAGGCAGCAGUGGGGAAUUUUGGACAAUGGGCGCAAGCCUGAUCCAGCCAUGCCGCGUGCAGGAUGAAGGCCUUCGGGUUGUAAACUUCUUUUGUACGGAACGAAAAGCCUUCUUUUAAUCCAGGCGGGUCAUGACGGUACCGUAAGAAUAAGCACCGGCUAACUACGUG